GCCGUAGUUUGGCUCCCGUAUUCUCUGCUUCCCCAUCUCUCUCUGUGGUAUCUCCCCAAAUGCCGGGGAGGUUCAGGGAGUGGGAGAUACCACAAAGGAGAGAUGGGGGGAGAAAUCUGCCUCCCGGAAGUCUCAGCUGUUACCUUAGUAACGGGAUUCGAACCCGCCCCUCACGCCCAGCCCCCUUUCCGUGGUAUCCUGGGGGCGGCGGCAGCUGGCUCGGCAGCAUCUUCUCCACAGGGUACCGAGAGGGAGAGGUGGAGUUAGCAAACCCAUUGCGCAGAGGAGCAAACUGAGGUUUCCCGAGGUGCCCACAGAGGCAGCCUCUCAUCCCUAGGAUGCGCUGGGUCCCACGCCCCGCCCACUACACCAUCCUGCCCGUCUGUCUCGGGAAAGACCACAGGGUACCUUCCACUUCUAAAGGCGUAUUUCGGGAUGGUUCUGGUAAUAACCUUAUCUCAUUUUCUCCUCACAAGGCGCAGUUAUUAUUCCCAUUUUGUGGCUGUUGUGCAGCAGGGCAGACCCUUCUGGCCCCAUGCGCUGUUUCUUUGGCCCAGGGGAGUGGCUCGCCAGUUUUCUUCUUCAGCCCAUUUUACAGAUGAGGGAGACUGAGGCUCCCAUAGAUUCAAUCUUCUUUUCCAGCCCUGACCUCUCUCCUGAUUUCCAGUCUCACCUCUCCCACUACUGGUUACCCAGGUCAUACUGAAUGUCUUGUAAACUCCUAAACUCUACACAUCCAAAAUUCGUCUUUUCCUCCCCAAAGCGCCUUUCUUCCUAACUUCUAUCUUCCCGGUUACCUUAGGCAUCACCUCCUUUCUCUCCUUGCCCCCCCCCAUAGUACUCACCUUAUCUGCUCCAUCUCUCCGGCUUAACUUCUCUCUCCCUCCUCCUCCUUUGCUCUGACCCUGACCUCAGUCAGGUGAACCCUCCUGGCACCUGGAUGACCUAACAACCCUGGCUGGUGUCCCAGUUCCCCCUUUCUGCUGUCCAUGAGGGCUUCCUAAAGUGCCGUCUCACCCUCCAAGAUCAAAUACAAACUCCCCGGUUGGAUGUUCAAAGACCUCUCUGACCUUUCCAGGUCUCCUACGCUCCCUCACCCCCUCCCUUCCAAGUACCCAGUGAUUCACCAGCUGCUCCUUGGACAAAAAUAGGCCGUUCUCGCCUGCCUCUUGCGGCCUCUUGGCUAAAAUCUCACCCGCACCAGCCCUUGCCUGGUCCUUCUCCCCAGCACCGUCGUCCGCCUCUCGAGAUGAUCUGCAUGAAUUUAUAUGCAAUGGCUUCCGUGUUGUUUCCUAUUGAACCAGGGGUUUUCUUGGGAGUAGGAACCUUUUUUUUUGCUUUUCUUUUAAUCUCCAGUGCCCAGUCCAUACCUGGCACAUAGUGUGUGCUUUAAAAGGCACUUGUUGGAUGACAUACAGAAAUAAUGUGAACAACUGUACAGCUCACAACUAUCAAAGUUCUUGCUUUCCAAGGAGGAGGGGGGGACAAAGGGUGGGAGAGAGGGGGGACUCACAAUUGUUUAGAAAAGGUUUAAAGGGAUUUUUACAUGCAAUUGGAUUUUUUCAAAGUGCUUGUGGACUUCCAGACACUAAUGAAAUGCAGGUCCCUGGCCUUCCAUUCCAUGGGAUUUCCCAGUGUUUUCCUCCCCUCUCCCACGGAUCUACUGAUAAUUUCAGACUCCCCGCUUUCUCUUCUCCAAUAUCUACAGGACUCCCCUAACGUAAGACUGUGACUCUACAGCCGAGGCUCUGACACGGCGCCCACACGGGGAGGGCCUUCCCGGGGCCGGACGGGAGCAGCAGGUCGGUCCUCGGAGCGGGAACAGGCCCGGACCUAUGUGCUAGCAGCUUGGUGAUGGGGAUGCGUGACUCAUGGAAACAGCCCACGACCACUUUCAAUGGAAAGGCGCCUGGAAGCCUCCUCCUCGGGGCUGGAGGCCUGCUGCCCUGAAGGCUUUCUGCCCCGGAGUCCUGGGCACCCCAAGCCCAGAAAGACGGGCGGCAGCGCCCCCCAACCUCACA
ensembl:lncRNA